rnacentral:rRNA from 1 species
AGAACUUUGAAGAGAGAGUUCAAGAGUACGUGAAACUGUUCAGGGGUAAACCUGAGAAACCCGAAAGAUCGAAAGGGGAGAUUCAUCGUCAGCGCCGUUGGCUCUCGAGUGACGUGCGAUGUUCGCGCGCGGCUUGCCGCGCGUGGCACGCGCUUGCUCGGUGUGUCCGGCGUGCGUCGGCGUGCACUUCUCCCCUAGUAGAACGUCGCGACCCGCUGGGUGUACGGCCUACGGGGCCGCGCCAUUAGACUGUCGCGGGCGUCCUUCGGGGCGUCCGUUGUCAGAGGCGUGGACCUCUCGUUGACCUGACCGACUGCCCGGCGGUAGUUAAAAGACACGGUAUUGGGCCGCUCGAAUUAUUGCGUUCCGACCCGUCGCAAGCUCGCACGWCACCUCGGAGUUUACGGAGAGUACGCCGUACCCGGGGCCGAGCAGCUGUUGGCUGGCGGUGUCGCGAACUGGCUCCACUUACCUGUCUGCGACGCUAUUGAUUUGGGUACUUUCAGGACCCGUCUUG